CGGCGGACGGGUGAGUAACACGUGGGCAACCUGCCUGUAAGACUGGGAUAACUUCGGGAAACCGGAGCUAAUACCGGAUAAUCCUUUCCCUCUCAUGAGGGAAAGCUGAAAGACGGUUUCGGCUGUCACUUACAGAUGGGCCCGCGGCGCAUUAGCUAGUUGGUGAGGUAACGGCUCACCAAGGCGACGAUGCGUAGCCGACCUGAGAGGGUGAUCGGCCACACUGGGACUGAGACACGGCCCAGACUCCUACGGGAGGCAGCAGUAGGGAAUCUUCCGCAAUGGACGAAAGUCUGACGGAGCAACGCCGCGUGAGCGAUGAAGGCCUUCGGGUCGUAAAGCUCUGUUGUCAGGGAAGAACAAGUACCGGAGUAACUGCCGGUACCUUGACGGUACCUGACCAGAAAGCCACGGCUAACUACGUGCCAGCAGCCGCGGUAAUACGUAGGUGGCAAGCGUUGUCCGGAAUUAUUGGGCGUAAAGCGCGCGCAGGCGGUUCCUUAAGUCUGAUGUGAAAGCCCCCGGCUCAACCGGGGAGGGUCAUUGGAAACUGGGGAACUUGAGUGCAGAAGAGGAGAGCGGAAUUCCACGUGUAGCGGUGAAAUG
rnacentral:rRNA from 1 species